GACUGGAUGGUGUAUAGAUAACACAUCUGCAUCGUAUCGGCUGGAUCAGUGGUGUAUCAACUUCUGCGGAUGAGCCCUGUUCGAAUCGGGGUCCAGUCA